rnacentral:rRNA from 1 species
GAGCAGCUAACUCGCGAGAGUAUGCAAAUCUACAAAAGCCAUCCUCAGUUCGGAUUGGAGUCUGCAACUCGACUCCAUGAAGUUGGAAUCGCUAGUAAUCGCGGAUCAGCAUGCCGCGGUGAAUACGUUCCCGGGCCUU